UCAUGAGCAACGGACCACAUAGCCUGGGAACGCAGUGCCUUUGUUGAAUUUCGGCGAGUUCCACAUAGAACAAAGUUGCUAAAGUGGAUAUAAAGUUGAUGUUGAAGGGAUUGGUACAUGCAAGUUAGUCCUGCGUGGUGGUCGAGACCUAAUACUACAUGAUGUUCUCUUUGCACCAACAAUUCGCCAGAAUGUUAUUUCAGUUUCCGUUUUGCUUAAGUUAGGAUUUGACUUGUUUUGUCAUGGAAAUUCUGCCAUGUUGACUUUUGGUUCAACUUUUAUUUGGUUUUGGUCAUGUGAUCGGAGGUUUAAUUAUUAUGGAUUUGGAUUAUAAUUCAUUUAAUAAUAAUGCU
rnacentral:lncRNA from 1 species